GCUAGUAUAGCUCAGUCAGUAAAGCGUGAGACUCUUAAUCUCAGUGUUGUGGGUUCAAGUCCCAUGCUGGGCA